GAAAUAAACAUUGACUAUGCACUAGUAUCCCUCUGUAUACAGCCGCUUUAGUGUAAAAAAAACUGUGAUAAACAUUAUUACAGGAGCUUGCACUUAUUGUUUACACUCGGGGCAGCCAUCUUUGAAGUAUUAUUAGAAUUCCCACAGAGUUUCCAGGCAGGACAUGCGCCGCUGCACUAUGUUUGGCUGGGCAGGUGGUCAUCUCGUUACAUCUGUGUAAACUGCCCUUCCUGAUGCAGGAGCCAAUCAUGUUCCAGUGGGGCGUGUCCUUCCUGGAAACUAUGUGAGAAUCCUAAUAACGCAUUUUGAAAGACUUUCCAAGUGGGAAAUGCCAUAGAUAUGAAUGAUCCGUUCCAUUUACCUCGGGAGUCGGAGUCGGAGCUGGAAAUGACGUCGGUCCCGGGAUGAGGUGGCUCAGGCAUCUGAUUAGGAUGCCUCCCCGGGGACGACCCAGGACGCGCUGGAGAGACAAUGUCUCCCGGCUGGCCUGGGAACAUCUCGGGAUCCCCCCAGAAGAGCUGGAUGAAGUGACUGGGGAGAGGGAAGUCUGGGCUUCCCUGCUAAAGCUACUGCCCCUGCGACCUGACCUCCGACAAGCAGAAGCAAAUGGAUGGAUGGAUGGAUGGAUGGAUGGACGUAACGUAGUUUUCAAGAUAUUCACACACACAAAUUGAGAAUGUUCACGUGUAGCAAGGUCCGUUCCUCCAUCCGCUAGGCGGCAGUAUUGCUGUGUCAGUUGAUGACUUGACUGCAAGUCAUUUUUGUAUACGGCCGAUUUAGUGUGACAAAAACUAUUCUGAAGUUAAGAAACGGAUUGUUCCAGGAGCGUGUACUUAAUGUUUACACUUGGGGCAGCCAUUUUAGAAAGCCAACUUGGGGUCGUGAGAAAUCUUCCGAGUGGGAAAUCCGACUUCAGACGGCCAUUUGAAAUUCCGGCUUGCGAGUUCGAAUGGAACGGAGGGGAAGACUCACCUACGCCAGCGCGCUCUAGCAGGUGGGCUAACCAACGUGCCUACGUGGGCGGCCAUAUUGGGGAGGUCGACGUUCCCGUAGAAGGCAAUGCAUGUACAUUGAAAUUCAAUUUGUAAUUUGCUAAUUUCUCCACCGAUUUUUCAUUAGAGUUAAUUUUUUUGGCCAAAGCGUAUGCGAUUAUUACACAACAUUUGGGGAAAUAUUUGGGGGAAUAUUUUUACAUGUGAAAGGGACUCCCAGUUUCCUCGUCGUAAUAGUACAGUGUUGUACAACUUUUAUGCAACCGUAUGCAAGCACACUGUACGGGCAUCCUUGGUCUUUUGGUUAUCUUGUCGCCCACACGUAUGGAAUGCGCUGACUUUGACCUCUCUCGCUCAGCGUCGCCGUCGGUUCGGGGCUCAAAAUGGGCGUCUAUCAACUUGAAACUUCCGACUAGGAAUUCGGAAAUUAUAAAGCUCAUCCAGGAUAUGACCAACCUGAAAGGCCGAAGGUCAGUCACUGGAUGGUCGGAUUUGAAGGAGAAGGAGCUGCGGGCCUACCUGGGGCUGCUGAUCCUGGCAGGUAUGUACAGGUCGCAGCACGAAGCAACAGACAGCCUUUGCGGGAAGCACACCGGAAGGCCCAUCUUUGCUGCAGCAAUGUCAAAAAUAAGAUUCUGCCAGAUAAACAGGGCUCUGUGUUUUGAAGACAAACGCCAUCGACGAGACAAGCUGGCCCCCCCAUCAAGGACCUGUGGAGCACCCUCCUGCCGAAGAUGUUUAACCCGUGGAGGGAUAUAUGUGUGGAUGAGCAGCUGUUCCCUUUUAGGGGCCGCUGCUCAUUCAAACAAUAUAUUCCCUACAAACCUGCCAAGUAUGGACUAAAGAGCUGGACCCUAUGUUACGUAAAGACCUCCUACGCAUGGAAUCUCCAAGUCUACAUGGGGAGUCCUGCUGCAGCAAAGAGGGAAAGGAACCAAGGCAUGCAAAAGUCGUGUUGGAGCUGUGUGACACUGCAGGGCCACACUCUCAUAACAGACAAUUUUUUUACUUCUUUUCCCCUGGCUGCGGAGCUGCAGAAAAAAGAUUCCGCUGGUGGGCACGGUCAGAAAGAACAAAGCUGAGCUUCCCCAAGAGCUCCUCAAAUUUGGACACAGACAGCCUCUUUCGUCUGUCUUUGCGUUCACCUCCAACAGGACCUUGGUGUCCUAGGUGCCCAAGAGAAGCAAGAACAUCCUGCUUUUGACUACCAAGCAUUGGGAAUCAGUGGUAGAGAAGACUGGGAAGAAGCCAAAAAUCCUCCUGGAUUAUAAUGCCUGUAAAGGUGCUGUAGACCACUUGGACCAGGUUUGUUGCACCUACUCGUGCCGCCGGCGGUCAUGCAAGUGGUGUAUGUGCCUUUUUUUAAUCAUUUUAUUGACGUCUCCUGCUACAAUGCCUACGUACUCUUCACCUCAGUAGACCCUGGAUGGAACCAGAGCAAGCAGUUCAGGCAACGACUCUUUUUGGAUGAGAUCGGGAGAGCUCUGAUCAUGCCUGCUAUGGCAAACAGAAAGUAUCUCCCCAGACAAGAGUCUGCAGCCAGCCUGGUCCAGCAAGCUCGCCAUCAGGAGGAGGAAGUGGAGGAUUAACAGAACGAUGACAUUGGGCAUAGGCAACACAACAAUUUGGAAUGUCCUGAAAAAGAAAUAAACUAUUGGUGUACUGAGCAACAGACAUCGAACAAGUUGGCCAAGGGUAUCAACAGCAGUUGACAGAAACAUUGUGAGAAAGAAAACCCAAAGACAACAGUCAGUGAUGUCACUGCCAACCUCCACAGGGCAGGGGUGAAGGUAUCAUAAUCCACUGUUUGAAGACGAGUUCGAGAGAAAAAAUAUACAGGCUAUACAAGAUGCAAACCACUCAUCAGCAAAAAGAAUUGGAAGGCCAGGUUGGAUUUUGCAAAGAAGUUCAGAGAUGAACCACAAUUGUUUUGGAAAAAAACUUUUUAUGGACUGAUGAGACCAAGGUUAACCUCUACCAAAGUGAUGGAAAGGCCAAAGUAUGGCGAAAGAAAGGAUCUGCUAAUGAUCCAAAACACACAAGCUCAUCUGUGAAGCAUGGUGGAAGUAAUGUCAUGGCUUGGGCUUGCAUGGCUGCUUCUGGAAUGGGCUCACUAGUCUUUACUGACGAUGUAACUCAUGAUGGUAGAAGCAGAAUGAAUUCGGAAACCUACAAGCCCAUUUUGUCUGCCAAUUUAAAGAAAAAUGCAUCCAAACUUAUCAGGAGAAGAUUCAUCAUGCAACCAGACAAUCAUCCAAAACACACUGACAACAACAAAUUACUUCAUCGGGUGAAAAAGUGGAAGGUCGUAGACUGGCUAAGUCACCAGACCAUAACCCAAUAGAGCAUGCAUUUUACCUCCUGAAGAGGAGACUGAAGGGACAAACCCCUACAAACAAGAACUGAAAGAGGCUGCAGUAAAGGCCUGGAAAAGCAUUUCAAAUGAAGAAUGCAACAGUUUGGUGGAGUCAAUGGGUUGCAGGCUUGAUGCAGUUAUUGCAAGUAAGGGUUAUGCCACCAAAUAUUAAAUGUUAUUCAAUUUAAGUUAAUUUAAUAAUGUCUGUUCCAAUAAUUUUGCACACUUGAAAAGUGGGAGGCUUCAAACAAAAGGUGCUCUGUCCUGAGUUGUUUAACACAUCUAGAUGUAAAUACCAUGAAAUAAAAGCUGGAAUUCUGAA